rnacentral:rRNA from 1 species
UACGUAGGUGGCAAGCGUUGUCCGGAUUUAUUGGGUUUAAAGGGUGCGUAGGCGGUUCUUUAAGUCAGUGGUGAAAUACUCUAGCUCAACUAGAGGGGUGCCAUUGAUACUGAAGAACUUGAGUGAAGUCGAAGUAGGCGGAAUUGACGGUGUAGCGGUGAAAUGCUUAGAUAUCGUCAAGAACACCGAUAGUGAAGACAGCUUACUAGGCUUAUACUGACGCUGAGGCACGAAAGUGUGGGGAUCAAACAGG